AUUGAACGCUGGCGGCAGGCCUAACACAUGCAAGUCGAGCGGAGCGGCGGACGGGUGAGGAAUGCCUAGGAAUCGGCCUGGUAGUGGGGGAUAACGUCCGGAAACGGGCGCUAAUACCGAAUACUAGCAGAUGAGCCUAGGUGGGAUUAGCUAGGUGGUGGGGUAAAGGCAUACCAAGGCGACGAUCCGUAACUGGUCUGAGAGGAUGAUCAGUCACACUGGGACUGAGACACGGUCCAGACUCCUACGGGAGGCAGCAGUGGGGAAUAUUGGACAAGGGGCGAAAGCCUGAUCCAGCCAUGCCGCGUGUGUGAAGAAGGUCUUCGGAUUGUAAAGCACUUUAAGUUGGGAGGCGUUACCAACAGAAUAAGCACCGGCUAACUUCGUGCCAGCAGCCGCGGUAAUUC
rnacentral:rRNA from 1 species